rnacentral:lncRNA from 1 species
UUUUUUUGUUCCUUUCUUCCUCUUUGGGAUACAAGAGAAAAACCCUGCUCUAAGUUCAGUAGUUGUUUGGAUGGUGAGAAAAUUCACUUCUUUUCUUUCAGCUACAAAGGGAGAGACUUUUACUGGGAUUCAACCCUGUAGGCAUGAAUAGAGCUUUAGUUGCCCUAAUUCAUACACUGUUCAUAUGGAUAUUACACUAAACACAAACAAAUAUAAAAAUUAAAAAGAGAAAAGAAAGAUCUAUUUAGCACAAUCAUCAUCAUCAUCAUCAUACACAUCGUUUCUAGAUAAUGCCAAAACUAUAACAUCUAUGUGUGUGUGUGUGUGUAUAUAUAUAUAUACAUGUACAUGGGCAUGAAAUGAGAGAGACCAGCCAUUGCAUCACAACUACAGCAGCAAGCAAAUCUCCACUCAUAAUGCUGAACAAACACAGCAGCAAACAAAUUCAGCAAGCCUCCAAAUAAGAUUUAACCAGCAGCUUUACUUUCAGCCUUUUAGAUCUUCAUCACUUCAAGCAAAACUUCAUUAAUCCCUUCAUCUAUAACAUAUGUAUGUAUAUGUAUAUGUAUAUACAUGUACAUAGACAUGAAAUGAGAGGCACCAACCAUUGCAUCACAACUACAACAUGCCAAAACAGUAGCAAACACAGCAGAACUACAACACAGUAGAUAGCAAACUUCCACUCAUAAUGCUGAACUUUUUAACAAGCAAUUCAAACACAGCAGGAAACAAACUCAGCAAGCCUCCAAAUAAGAUUUAACCAGGAGCUUCAUUUCAGAUCUUCAUCACUUCAUUUAUCCCUUCAUUUUCCCACAUUUUUCUACAGUUCUGUACUUUGUUCUUUUUCACACGUUCUUCCCAUUUUUCAUUUGUGCUACGAACUCUUUUUCUAUCCACAAAACCUUCACUGUCAAUCCCACUUUUCUUUCUCCAACCCAAGCAAUCCAUGCAUUUAUCAUAGAGAAAACAUAAAUGAUAAAGAUCCCAUACACCCCAAAUCUCCCAAAACCCACAAAAAUAUUUACUGAGAUUUUCAUCUGCAUCCAACCAAAGAGCACUCUGUUCCAAAAGAUUCAUUCAUCUUCCAAUUUCCAAUUUAACUGGCAUCCCAGAUUAGUGACAUUCAUACUUGUCUUUGCCUUUGUAAAUGAUUCUGCAAAGAACCCAGGUUUGAGAAGUAGGGGAAUCAAAUCUGUACUCGUGCAUGAUCCAGUCACUCUUCACUAUCUCUUUCCUAUUACCACCCCUCUUCUUCUACCUCAUAAAAGUUAGGGUUUUCUUAAACCCAAUUUGCUUCUUCUCUGAUUACGAAAAAAGCUCUCAUUUUUCGGGUUGAAUCUGUAUCCAACCGUGACGGCGACGAUGGACAUUGUAGCCGAAUGAAAUAAAGAAAAAGAAUUUUUUGUACCUGAAAGAAAAGGGAGGAAGAAUUUUCUUCCAAUCCAAACGCUUCUCAACUUAGGCAGAGUCUUUUUCUUGCAGCGAAAAAGGAAGAAAGGAACAAAAAAUUUCUUGCAAACCAAACGCCUCCUGGGUUAAAUUUUGGGGGAAAACGUUCUUCGGUUGCAGCGGGAAGAAAGAAAGGAAAAGAAGUUUUUUUUUUUUUCUUGCUGGGUUGAAUCUGGGGAAAGAAAGAAAGAAAGAAAAGAUAUAGAAUUUUCCCACAAUCCAAACGGGAAAACUACUAUUAUAUACUCUGAAAUUAAUGGGCUUAUGGGCUGCCUCUAAUACUCGG